rnacentral:rRNA from 1 species
CGGAAACGAUCCUAGCUUGCUAGGAGGCGUCGAGCGGCGGACGGGUGAGUAAUGCAUAGGAAUCUGCCCGAUAGUGGGGGAUAACCUGGGGAAACUCAGGCUAAUACCGCAUACGUCCUACGGGAGAAAGCAGGGGAUCUUCGGACCUUGCGCUAUCGGAUGAGCCUAUGUCGGAUUAGCUAGUUGGUGAGGUAACGGCUCACCAAGGCGACGAUCCGUAGCUGGUCUGAGAGGAUGAUCAGCCACACUGGGACUGAGACACGGCCCAGACUCCUACGGGAGGCAGCAGUGGGGAAUAUUGGACAAUGGGGGAAACCCUGAUCCAGCCAUGCCGCGUGUGUGAAGAAGGCCUUCGGGUUGUAAAGCACUUUCAGCGAGGAAGAAGGCCUGGGGGCUAAUACCCCUCAGGAAGGACAUCACUCGCAGAAGAAGCACCGGCUAACUCCGUGCCAGCAGCCGCGGUAAUACGGAGGGUGCGAGCGUUAAUCGGAAUUACUGGGCGUAAGCGCGCGUAGGUGGCUUGAUAAGCCGGUUGUGAAAGCCCCGGGCUCAACCUGGGGAACCGCUAUCCGGAACUGUUCAGGCUAGAGUGCAGGAAA